AGGGCACCACCAGGAGUGGAGCCUGCGGCUUAAUUUGACUCAACACGGGAAAACUCACCCGGCCCGGACACUGAAAGGAUUGACAGAUUGAGAGCUCUUUCUUGAUUCAGUGGGUGGUGGUGCAUGGCCGUUCUUAGUUGGUGGAGCGAUUUGUCUGGUUAAUUCCGAUAACGAACGAGACUCUAGCCUACUAAAUAGAUCGCCGGUUUACAAACACCGGUGAGACUUCUUAGAGGGACAGGCGGCGAUUCAGCCGCACGAAACAGAGCAAUAACAGGUCUGUGAUGCCCUUAGAUGUCCGGGGCCGCACGCGCGCUACACUGAAGUGAUCAGCGUGCAUUUUAAGCCUACUCGGCCAACAGUGGGAAACCCAAUGAACCUUCUUCGUGAUUGGGAUAGGGGAUUGUAAUUAUUCCCCUUGAACGAGGAAUUCCCAGUAAGCGCGAGUCAAAAGCUCGCGUUGAUUACUUCCCUGCCCUUAGUACACACCGCCCGUCGCUACUACCAAUUGAAUGAUUA
rnacentral:rRNA from 1 species